AUACUCUUGACAAUGAAGGGAUCCACCUAUGGAUAUUUAUGAAUUAAUAAUAUCAUACUCGGACAAUGAAGGAUUGCCUAUAUUACGAAUCAUAAUCAUAAUACAUCAUAUUCAUUCAUAAAGGAUUGCUUAUGAUAUUAUGAAUGAUAAUAAUAAUAAUAAUAAUAUCACACUCAGACAUGAGGGAUUGCUUAUAUUAUGAAUAAUAAUCAUAAUCCAUCAUAUUCAUUCAUGAAGAAUUGCUUAUGAUAUUAUGAAAUGAUAAUAAUGAUAAUGAUAAUAAUAAUAUCAUAUUCUGACAUGAGGGAUCACCUAUAGUAUUAUGAAUAAUAUCAUAGUUUGAUAUAUAUUAUGAAUGAUAAUAAUUAUUAUAAUUUAUUACCUGCCUCUCCACAGUACAGCAAGGCUCAAACAGAAAGUUAUAACAAAACACUAUUAAAUACAUAUGACAAAUAUACAUAGGUAAAAUACAAGAGUUUGAAGAGAUUCAAACUCAUUUUUAUCCAAUAUUGAAAACUAUUGCUCCAUGUCGAGUCUAAAAAUUUGGAUUUUCAUGGAAAUUUUCAUUCUGGGGAGCCUUGCUGAGACUCGAACCCUGAACUUCAAAGAUUCCUGGGAUUAAAGACACUUGUUUCCUAUGGCAGGUCCCUUCCGCGGCUGCAGCUCCGACCGAAGCCGAAGCCCGGAUAUUUUGGCUGGGAUUGAUUAUCUGCCCCGUCAUAUGGACCCUCUUCUUCUUCAGCACUUUGUUCUCCUUGAAACUCAAAUGGCUGGCGCUGGUCACGGCCGGCAUUUGUCUCCAAGCGGCAAACCUCUAUGGCUACAUCCACUGCAAACUCGGAGGGUCCCAAGCCAUGCACAGAAACGUCACUGCAAGAUUCCCGGGGCAAAAGAUGUUCCAGAGGGAAAUGCCGGAGGAAUUCCAGAAAACGGUCCUGAAAGGGAUGGGGACCCGGAAUCAUUAAAAGGAGACCAAAAAAAGGGAUGAUGGGUAAGAUGCAUCUGGAUAUUAAUAAUAUAAAUAAUAAUAAUAUGAAUAAUACUAAUAUCAAUAUUUAUAACAUGUAUACUAAUAUUAAUACUACUAUUACUACUACAAAUAAGACUAACUAAAUAACAUUACCACUAAUAUUAAUAAUAUACAAAUAAUAGUUUGGACAUUUGAGCUCCUUUGAGACUUAUUGAUAUUUGUACAAAUAUAAAAUAAGAAUU
ensembl:lncRNA